UACGUAGGGGGCAAGCGUUGUUCGGAAUUACUGGGCGUAAAGGGCUCGUAGGCGGCCAACUAAGUCGGACGUGAAAUCCCUCGGCUUAACCGGGGAACUGCGUCCGAUACUGGAUGGCUUGAGGUUGGGAGAGGGAUGCGGAAUUCCAGGUGUAGCGGUGAAAUGCGUAGAUAUCAGGAGGAACACCUGUGGCGAAAGCGGCUCACUGGACCACAACUGACGCUGAUGCACGAAAGCUAGGGGAGCAAACAGG
rnacentral:rRNA from 1 species